rnacentral:rRNA from 1 species
UACGUAGGUGGCAAGCGUUGUCCGGAUUUACUGGGCGUAAAGGGCGUGCAGGCGGUCUGUUAAGUGCAGGGUGAAAGCUCCCGGCUCAACUGGGAGAGGUCCUUGCAUACUGGCGGACUUGAGGGGGGUAGAGGAAAGUGGAAUUCCAAGUGUAGCGGUGAAAUGCGUAGAGAUUUGGAGGAACACCAGUGGCGAAGGCGGGUCUCUGGGCCGUAACUGACGCUGAGGAGCGAAAGCAUGGGGAGCGAACAGG